ensembl:lncRNA
GCUUUCCUUGCGAGACGAGAAUCUUCACCAUCUGAAUCAUGAGAGGCUGGCGAACACUUUGGGAAUAUUCUGCCAAGGUGAAUCAACAAGCGAGCGGAGCUUUGAGAGUUCGGAGGCACAUCACAGGUUUGAGAUCCUUUCUUUUAAUAAUUUUGUGGAGAACCAGUAUGCUUAAAUCGUUGGAUGUUACUGUCUGUAAAGAACUCCGUGUUAAGCAGACUCUGACUGCCAGUUUCCCAUGCUUUCAAAUUCACGAACUCCUGAAUGCCUAAAUCACCGCCAUUGAAGUACUGCUAUUAAAGUGUGAUAAUCUUACUUUGUGAGAAUUUUUAGUUGCCUACUGUUUUUUUCCCACUGAGUGAUGUCCAAAUUAUAAAUUAUAAUUGACGGUUAUUUAGACUGUCUGGCACCCAAAACCAGUAUGUAUAUUGCAAGCUCCCAUGUUAGAAGAGGCUGGAGCAGCAGGUCUUAAAUUGGUCCACAGAUUGUGGACUCUGGAGGACAUCUGUAGUUGCAUGACACACUUACG